rnacentral:rRNA from 1 species
UACGGAGGGUCCAAGCGUUAUCCGGAAUCAUUGGGUUUAAAGGGUCCGUAGGCGGUUUUGUAAGUCAGUGGUGAAAGCCCAUCGCUCAACGGUGGAACGGCCAUUGAUACUGCAAAACUUGAAUUAUUGGGAAGUAACUAGAAUAUGUAGUGUAGCGGUGAAAUGCUUAGAUAUUACAUGGAAUACCAAUUGCGAAGGCAGGUUACUAUCAAUAUAUUGACGCUGAUGGACGAAAGCGUGGGGAGCGAUCAGG